CGGCACGCCUUAACAUGCAAGUCGAACGAAGUAGCAAUACUUAGUGGCAGACGGGUGAGUAACAUGUAGGUAUCUUCCCUUUGGUGAGGAAUAACACGAGGAAACUUGUGCUAAUACCUCAUAAGUCUUUACGGAGAAAGCUUUAUGCGCCGAAGGAUGAGCCUGCACUUGAUUAGUUUGUUGGUGGGGUAAUGGCCUACCAAGACUUUGAUCUAUAGCUGAUCUGAGAGGAUGAUCAGCCACAUUGGGACUGAGACACGGCCCAAACUCCUACGGGAGGCAGCAGUAGGGAAUAUUGCACAAUGGAGGAAACUCUGAUGCAGCGAUGCCGCGUGAGUGAAGAAGGCCUUUGGGUUGUAAAGCUCUUUCGUCGGGGAAGAAAAUGACUGUACCCGAAUAAGAAGGUCCGGC
rnacentral:rRNA from 1 species